rnacentral:rRNA from 1 species
CCUACGGGAGGCAGCAGUGAGGAAUAUUGGUCAAUGGACGCAAGUCUGAACCAGCCAUGCCGCGUGCAGGAAGACGGCGCUAUGAGUGGUAAACUGCUUUUGUACGAGGGUAAACGCAGAUACGCGUAUCUGUCUGAAAGUAUCGUACGAAUAAGGAUCGGCUAACUCCGUGCCAGCAGCCGCGGGAAUCCGGAGGAUGCAAGCGUUAUCCGGAUUGAUUGGGUUUAAAGGGUGCGUAGGCGGUCGGAUAGGUUAGAGGUGAAAUCCCGAGGCUCAACUUCGGAAAUGCCUCUGAUACUGUUCGGCUAGAGAGUAGUUGCGGUAGGCGGAAUGUAUGGUGUAGCGGUGAAAUGCUUAGAGAUCAUACAGAACACCGAUUGCGAAGGCAGCUUACCAAGCUACUUCUGACGUUGAGGCACGAAAGCGUGGGGAGCAAACAGGAUUAGAUACCCCAGUAGUC